UUUAAUGAUGAGGAUUUUUGACAUAG
rnacentral:piRNA from 1 species